CGAAGUUACGCUGCAGCGCAGACAGGCGAGCAGCAGCAUGGUGAGAAAGCCGAAAGCGCGCACAGACGGCCCGCACUUUCUGCAGCAGCUCUGAUAUAUCUGGGUAGUUUUUCAGGAAUUUCUGCACCACCAAGUUCAGCACAUGCGCCAGGCAAGGGAUGUGCAUCAAACCUGCUAGGCCCAGAGCUGCUGCGAGAUUUCACCCAUUAUCACACACCACCAGGCCGGGCUUGAGGCUCAGUGGCAACAACCACUCAUCGGUCUGUUGUUCAAUGCUCGUCCACAGCUCCUGCG